UGGGGAAUAUUGCACAAUGAGCGCAAGCCUGAUGCAGCCAUGCCGCGUGUAUGAAGAAGGCCUUCGGGUUGUAAAGUACUUUCAGCGGGGAGGAAGGCGAUAAGGUUAAUAACCUUGUCGAUUGACGUUACCCGCAGAAGAAGCACCGGCUAACUCCGUGCCAGCAGCCGCGGUAAUACGGAGGGUGCAAGCGUUAAUCGGAAUUACUGGGCGUAAAGCGCACGCAGGCGGUCUGUCAAGUCGGAUGUGAAAUCCCCGGGCUCAACCUGGGAACUGCAUUCGAAACUGGCAGGCUAGAGUCUUGUAGAGGGGGGUAGAAUUCCAUGUGUAGCGGUGAAAUGCGUAGAGAUCUGGAGGAAUACCGGUGGCGAAGGCGGCCCCCUGGACAAAGACUGACGCUCAGGUGCGAAAGCGUGGGGAGCAAACA
rnacentral:rRNA from 1 species